GAGGCUACGCUGGCGGCGUGUCUUAGCCAUGCAAGUCGAGCGGACUUAUGGGGUAACUUAUAAGUCAGCGGCGGACGGCGGAGUAACACGUAGCUAACCUACCCUCUGGACGGGGAUAACCUACCGAAAGGUGGGCUAAUACCCGAUGUAGUCAUCCUGUAUAGGGGUGAUGAAAGGUGGGCUUCUGUUUACAAGCUCAUGCUGGAGGAGGGGGCUGCGGCCUAUCAGGUAGUUGGUAGGGUAAUAGCCUACCAAGCCGAUGACGGGUAGCCGGCCUGAGAGGGUGACCGGCCCGAGGGGCACUGAGAUACGGGUCCCACUCCUACGGGAGGCAGCAGGCUAGAAAUUUGGGCAAUGGGGGAAACCCUGACCCAGUGACGCCGCGUGCAGGAAGGAGCCCUUCGGGGUGUAAACUGCUGUCGUGUAGGGAGAAGGGUACUAAGGUGAACAAUCUUAGUACUUGACGGUACUACAGGAGGAAGCCCAGGCUAACCUCGUG
rnacentral:rRNA from 1 species